AAAAAGGGUGUUUGCCGCUUUCAUGGCAUGCAAGUCAGCAAUGGCUUGUAGGGUAUGGUUAUCAAGACAUACCCAACACAUUAUUUUUGAAACGGGAGACAGUUGGCAUCAGAAUGUGCUGGCGUCUUC